rnacentral:rRNA from 1 species
GUCUAUGGCCAUACCACCCUGAAUGCACCCAAUCUCAUCUGAUCUCAGAAGCUAAGCAGAGUUGGGCCUGGUUAGUACUCCGAUGGAAGAGUGUAUCAAAGACA